AUAUUGCUGGAGAUCUCUGUGUAUCUAAGGCUUUCUGAAGAGCUUCAAAAGGUGCUCUUAAACAUCAAGAGUAGUUUCACAGUUUUACAGCAAUGGGCAUUUUCAAACCCCAAGUAUUUCAUUAGGUCAGAACAACUUCACCCCAGCACAUAAAUCUUAGAAACUGAUACUAGCAGAUUCAGAACUUGUAAUGCAGGAGAAGAGAGGAUAUAGAGGAGCUCGCUCUGAGGAUGCCUGCGUUGCUCCCAGCUCUUCUGGGGAUACAGAAGAGAGAAUAUGAGGAUAUCUGUAUGAGGAGCUGUCAGUCUUUUAGGCUGUGAUUUUGUUUUUCUUCCCUGAUGACAGAGCUUGUUGUGUCCUCCUGGCAAUCACUAAUGGGCUUAAUCAUCACUUAAAUUGCAAGUUUGUUACUCUCCGGAGUCUUCAUGCCCAUGAACAGUUUUGUAGUUGCUUCUCCCUGCUCAGACUAAGACAUUCAAACUCCUCCUUCACUUUCCUUUGCUUGAUCUCCUCAGUUGCUGACAUAUGCUAACUUGACUCAAGCUUGUCACUAGCCUAAAUAAUCGUAACAAUUGCUGACCUUCAUUUAAUGUCUUCAAAGAGGGGAUUUUGCUAAUUUUUUGCUAUCUGAAAGGUUGGAAGUAUCUAUGUUAUUUGUUAGGAAGGUUAUUCAAGUCUAUUUCAGAAGUGUUGCAGAUGAUAGAUCUCUGGUAGAAUCCUGUUUUUAAUUAAUUUAACUUAAUCUACUUAAUGGAUUUACUUGUAAGUUACCAGAAAAUUCAUUCAGAGCUUAUGUGCUGUAAGUCUGGAGAUGAUACACAUAGUCUUUUUACACACUGCAUAGAGGCUGAGUCCUUAUUUUUUAAAAAUAGCAAUGUUUUGGGACUGUACUGAGCAGUGUAUUUGCAGUGUUUCCUACAAAUAGCACUAGAUCCAUCAUAAGGUUGCAAAGCCAGACAGUUUAAAUUUGGGAAGUUGCUGAAUUUAAGCUGAUUAUAGUAUAACACAAUCCCAAUUCAGAUUUUUUUUCAGGUGACCAUGACACUUUCAGUGCUAGAGUAUUUACUUUUAGCUAACAAACAUUAAUUUUACUCUCAUUGCUCACAGGUCAGAAAGUUCAGUAUUUACUGAAUAUUAAUCAAAUCCUUAUAAAAACACAAUUAUUAGUUUCCCUUUAGGUUUUGCUGUCUAUGGCACUCAUUACACUACCAUGCGAGUACUUCACACUUUUCUCCAGCAGCAUUUAUUUUUAUUCACGUUCUCCAGAUGGAAAUUGAGACAGAGUGAUUUAGAUGCAAAUUGUUUAUUCAUUUUGUGUUGGGCUUUAUAAAUUAAAUAGUUUUCAUCGUUGCUAAUUUUAGCUGCAAGCAUUUAGCACAUCUGAUCAGAUACUUAAGAAGUAGGAAGUAAUUUAUGAACCCACAUCACACAUGUGACUUAUCUUGCAGCAUGCUAUCUGAGGACUGUCACGGGGAAAAGAAAUAUGGUUUUCUGGGGUAUUCUUGAUUACCUUAAGCAUGAGUCUGUCCCCUCCUCUUCAUAAUAUCUGCUAUUUACCAUCCAGCCUAGGUAGUAAAUGGGGGAAUAUUUUGAGGAACCAAGUAAAAGCCAUGAAAUUCAAACUAGCAUAUAAUAUAUAUAUAUAUAAACAGAAGAAUUGCUAUUUACUUGUGAAGAACAUAGAGGGAUUAUUUAUUAAAGUUAUUAAAACAAGACAGACCUCUUAACUCCCCUGCUACUAUACUAAAGGGUUCCACUUGGUGGCAAGUCGAAUGAGAACCAGCACUUUGCCCUGGCAGCCCAAAAAGCCAAUUGUACCCUGGAUACACCAGGCCCAGCACUGCCACCAGACAAGGGAAGGAGUUGUCCCACUCUGCUCUGAGCAGUGUGGCCUCACCUCCAGCACUGAGUGCAGUUUGGGUGCCACAAUAUAUGAAGGAGAUAAAACUGUUAGAGAGCCUUCAAAGGAGGGCUACGAAGAUGGAGAAGCUGCUAGAGCUCAAGGAGAGUAUGGACAAUGCUGCCACAUAUUAGGAUUUGAAUUUUGGGUCGUCCUGUGUGGAGCCAAUGGUUAGACUCAGUGGUCCUCAGGGGUUCCCUCCAACUCAGGGUAUAGCUCAUCAGUUGCAUUGCCAAAAAGGGGCUGAAGUCUGUUUGAAUUGGUAUAAAAUAUUCUUUGAAGUAAAAUUAAUUGAUUUGCUUAACUUAGCUUUGUUCUGUCAGUGAGAACUUAGCCCAGGAAUACUCAGCUCUUGAUUGCAGUGAUGUUCAGAGGAGUACUGAAUGUCCAGGUAGACAAUAGGUGGGAUUAAGGCUAAUUGGAGAAGAAAGGUGGAACGGUUUCUAUGUUGCUGUGACAAUGGGAACUAUGUUUUAGUGAAAAGUAGGAUAGAUCUAAGUAAAAUGUACUUAAAUUAAACAAACAACAGCAACAACAACAAAAUCCCAAGCAGUAAGUUAAAGUACAAAGUACCUGAAUGCUGGAGUGGUGAGGGGUGUUUGUUUUCUUUUCCAUUUUGCAUGUGAGUUUAACAAGGAGAAGUUGACGAAGGAAACUGAGAUAAAAGUGAUUGGGUGUAAAAUAAAUGGCACUGU
ensembl:lncRNA